rnacentral:rRNA from 1 species
ACGCGUGGAACCUUACCAGGUCUUGACAUCCCAUUGACCGUCAUGGAGACAUGGCUUUCCCUUCGGGGACAGUGGUGACAGGUGGUGCAUGGUUGUCGUCAGCUCGUGUCGUGAGAUGUUGGGUUAAGUCCCGCAACGAGCGCAACCCUUGUUCUUAGUUGCCAUCAUUUAGUUGGGCACUCUAAGGAGACUGCCGGUGACAAACCGGAGGAAGGUGGGGAUGACGUCAAAUCAUCAUGCCCCUUAUGACCUGGGCUACACACGUGCUACAAUGGACGGUACAAACGGUUGCCAACCCGCGAGGGGGAGCUAAUCCGAUAAAACCGUUCUCAGUUCGGAUUGUAGGCUGCAACUCGCCUACAUGAAGCCGGAAUCGCUAGUAAUCGCGGAUCAGCAUGCCGCGGUGAAUACGUUCCCGGGCCUUGCACUCACCGCCCGU